UUUACUCAGGCUCCUGGAAUUGGUUCUGAGAAGAAAGGAAUAGAAGAGGAGGUGAAAGUUCUUACCUCUAGCCACUCCAGGAAACUUGCAAUUUCCUGGCCAACUUGCCGAGUGUUUCUGACAGCAAUAGCAUAGUGUCGGUGUGCCAAGGUGAUCCAGUCAGCAACAAUCACAUUCACUUGAGUGGAUUUCUGAGACUUGAGUGCUGCUGCCAUUUCCCAAAUCCAUUUCUCCAGCAUGCCAUCCACCUGUGGGAAGGGGAAACUGAGCAAAAUGAGUCCAUUGAGGAACAUUUGAGAAGAUGCAUCCAGUACUGGAAAGAGCUGCCAGAUGGCAACAUCUUCUGCUUGGGUGGUCUAAAUCAAUGCCAGAAGAUAGAAGGAACGUUGACAAA